rnacentral:rRNA from 1 species
CCAACAAAUUAAGGAGGGAUGGGAUUUCGUGAUAUUCACUAUUUCAACUUGGCGUUGCUCGCCAAACAGGCGUGGCGUCUUCUGGAUAAUCUUGAUUCCUUGUGUGCUUCUAUCCUAAGGGCAAAGUACUACCCUGAUGGUGAUCUGAUGAACUCUAAGCAAAGGAAAGGCUCUUCUUUUACCUUGCAAAGUAUUAUGGCAGGCACAAAUACCCUGAAACGAGGCCAUAUUUGGCGAGUGGGAAACGGACAAAAAAUUAAUAUUUGGGAAGAUGCCUGGAUCCCAAACUGUGCUACUAGGAAAAUUGUAACGCCUAAGGGGUGACAUCUCUUAACUAAGGUAGGUGAUCUCAUUGAUCCUGCCUCCAAUAAUUGGGAUGAGGAAUUAAUUAGACAAACUAUGUGGCCCAUCGAUGUACAACGAAUUCUCUCAGUUCCACUCCCGCAACAUGAUAUGCCAGAUUUCAUUGCUUGGAGUUAUACAAAAAAUGGUAUGUUCUCGGUUUGGUCAGCAUAUUCCGUGGAGUGGGAACACCAGUAUGGAAGCAAAUUAAAAUUCUAA